GCUCCUGUAAUGUAGUGGUAGUUCGCCCUCUCCCCCUAUACGGGCGAGACGCGGGUUCAAUUCCCGCCUGAGGUC